AAGGAGAUCUCUUUGAAGAGGUAGCAGCAGCGAGAGCAUGACAGCUUUGCGGAGCUGCUGCAGCGAACACCGAUCGAGCACUGGCUUCCACCACUGUCGUCGCUCGACCUGUGUGUGAGACGGCGAUGCUUGCUCCCACAAGCGCAGACCUCUCCUCUGUUGUUUAGCUGCAACCACGUGCUUGGAUUCUGCAGGGAUAAAGCUGUGCCACCCCCACCACAAGAAGCUGGGAGACAUCAUCUCCUUCCUCCCGCCCCCCACUUCCUGUUCGUUGCUGCAUGCAAAGGGAGUCCACAGUUGCAUCUGCGGGUGCGAAUCUCAAAGGAAAUCAAGAACUUGGCCACGCAUUCCUUUCCCUCUGUAGACUGCUCUCUUUUGAAUGCAAUGAUUAAGCGGUAAUAAA
rnacentral:lncRNA from 1 species